rnacentral:lncRNA from 1 species
UACUUCUUACCUUCAGAAGCUUUUGUAAAUGAUUGAAUGGAUGUGAGAAGCAAUAAACCACUCUGUGCUAUGAUAGAAACCCUAUCUGGUUCCAGUGAAACUGUAUGGAGAGAGUCCUCCGACUCUCACAGUGGAGAACACAAGGCAUAUACAUCACUUAACCCAUGCGGAUGAUGCAGAUGAACUUAAAGAGGACCUCAAGGGAAGCAGGAGGGCAGUGGAGGCUCAAACCUUCCCAGCUGGGUGGACAUAGCUCAGGAGGGAUCCAUGUUAUGAUGUUGUUGCCUUGAGAGUAUCAACAGCUUCAAACAUUAAAAACAUUUGCCUGCAGUGGGGGUCAGUAUUUUGUUUUCUAAGAUUUAUUUCUAAUAUUUUGCAAAUUACCAGAAUGUUGGGGUGAUCUAAGCCUUUGCACCAAGCACUGUAUGUUUUGAAAAAUGUAAAAUACGUGCCUCACAGGCAAAGAUAGAGCACAUCUUGCCACGGUAAUCUGGUGAUUGCUUUCAAACCAUUGCUUUCUACUUCAUUGCACGUAAAUAUGAUUCUCCAAGCAUCUUUGCAUGAAUUUGACAGGAAGAAAAUCACAAGUCUUUCAUGCAAGAACAGCUAAAAGCAAACUAGGAAGGAGCAUCUUGGAGAAAAAGUACAGAUAGGACUCGCUGCCAUAGCAAUGGACCUUAAAGCCUGGGGUGUUCCUAGUGAGUGCAUUCAGCCUGAGAUAUUCUCCUAACUGGCUCAGAAGUAUGAAUAGCCAUCACUGGGUCUGCAUUUGAGACAACUGCAUGUUCUAGUGGGACACUGAAAAUAGAAACCUGACCUUAUUAUGCUGUCUGUAAAUGGUUGCAUACUUUUCUAUUACAAUUAGUAGUUUUGUUGUUUUUAGAUGCUGUGGGUUAACCCCAGCUGAGCCCUACAGAGCUACCACCAAUAGGAUGGGAAAGAAAGGUAGAAAGUGAGAAAACUCCUGGGCUGAGAUAAAGACAACUUAGUAGGUAAAGCAAAACUGCACCUAUAGGCAAAGCAAUACAAGGAAUGCAUUGACUUCUUCCCAUCAGCAACAGAUGUUUAGCCAUUUCCAGAAAAACAGGGUCCAUUGUGUGUAGCGGUUACUUGGGAA